rnacentral:misc_RNA from 1 species
GAGAGAUCCUGAGUUUCUGCACGUAGAUCAUAAGAAAAUGCUUCCUUCAAAGAAGGAGGUCGAAGGCAACAAAUUUUAACAGCACUUCCCAGAUUUUCAAAACUAUUGCUGAGAAUAAAAAGAAUACCAUCAUCUUGUUCUUGAAGGACGUGGUAAGUAUCGUUAGUUUUUAGGAAAAUGGUGAAGCUAGAACUGAACUGGAAGUUGGUAGCAGAGUUUGUAUGUUUACUGCUAAAGUGUAAUGAUAACUGCUUAGAUGAGGCCAUAAAGUUGCAAUCAGAAUGGGGGCAUAAACAAGGGGCAUAUAGGCAAGUUUUUUCGUGGUCACUUUCAUUACCAUAACCAACGAUCUCCUUGCAUCCAAACUUUGAUUGUU